UAAUCCACAACUUAAUUAAGUAGCUAAACGAAAUUAAAACCGUAAUUGUACGCUACAAUUAACAUAAUCUUUGUACCAAUAGCGGGACCUCCCAUUUCAAAAAAGAAAAAAGAAAACUCCAUUUCUAUUCAAUUUCUUCAAAUUCCAUCUUUUUUUUUUCAAACUCAGACAAAACAUCCUCACUCCUCUUCUUCUCUCUUCCAAUACUCACACCAUCAAUUCAAAUCUGCUUCCAAUUUUCUUACAUUCUUCGUCAAUUCAUACAAAUUCCUCCGAUUAAUUCGACAUUUGCAUUCAUUAGAUCUGUUCUAGGGUUUUAGCUUCAAUCCCCUUUUUUCAAUUGGAAUUACUGGUAAUGCGAUCCCCAAAAAAUCCGAUGAUUUCGUCGUGAUUUGAAAUUCUAGGGUUUUUGUUUUGUGUUUUUUUUAUUGCGAAAUGCAGAGCUCGACGAGCUCGGCAAUGGCGGCUCAACCAGAGGCGAUUUUGGAGUGGCUUCAGAAAGAGAUGGGGUAUAGACCUGCGGGCCCGUAUACGGGCUCAAGUCGGGCCGGGGUGGGCCCAUCGGCGGAUGCAAUUAGGAAGGUUUGUAGAGGGAAUAUGAUUCCGGUGUGGAGUUUCUUGCUUCAGAGGGUGAAAUCGGAGAAGACGGCGGAGACGAUUCGAAGGAAUAUUCAGGUUCAUGGAGGUGACGGUGGUGGAAAGGGGAAGGAGGUUGGGAAGAGGAGAGAGAAAGAGAGAGGGAGACUGGAGGCAUUGCAGGAGAGAGAUGCCGCCGAGAAGGAGGUUGAGAGGUUGAGGCAGAUUCUUAGGAGGCAGAGGAAAGAGUUGAAGGCUAAAAUGUUGGAGGUUUCGAGGGAGGAGGCCGAGAGGAAGCGAAUGCUCGAUGAUCGCGGGAAUAUCAGGCAUAAGCAGGUUAUGUUGGAGACAUAUGAUCAACAAUGUGAUGAAGCAGCAAAAAUAUUUGCUGAAUAUCAUAAACGUCUUCGUUAUUACGUCAGUCAGGCUAGGAAUUCUCAGAGGUCCAGUGUUGAUCUCUCUACUGAAGUAGCUAGUACCCUGCAUGCAAGCAGUGAGAAAGAGGGUGUUUACUCAACUGUCAAGGGAGCCAAAGCUGCUGAAGAUGUCAUUCUUAUUGAAACUACUCGCGAAAGGAACAUCAGAAAAGCAUGUGAGUUUCUUGCAUCACAUACGCUUGACAGAAUACGCAGCUCUUUUCCUGCUUUUGAAGGAAGUGGUGUGCACUCAAAUCCUCAGCUAGAAGCUGCUAAGUUGGGCUAUGAUUUUGAUGGUGAAAUACCCGAGGAAGUUAGUAUUGUUGUUGGAAAUUGUCUAAAAAGUCCACCUUUGUUACUUCAAGCUAUUACUGCAUAUACUCAGCGGUUGAAUUCAUUAAUUGGUAGAGAAAUUGAGAAAGUUGAUGUUAGAGCAGAUGCUGAAGCACUCAGGUAUAAGUAUGAGAACAACCGAGUGAUGGAUGCUUCAUCCCCAGAUAUGACCUCACCAUUAAGUUAUCAACUUUAUGGUAAUGGAGAGAUUGGGGAAGAUCUACCUUCAAAGGGAAGUGAAAAUCAGCUUCUUGAAAGACAGAAAGCUCAUGUUCAGCAAUUUAUAGCUACAGAGGAUGCUUUAAAUAAAUCUGCAGAAGCUCGAAGUAUGUCUGAGAAGCUUCUAAUUCGUCUGCAUGGAAGUGAUGUUAAUUCUCACCUGCCCAUUGUUGGAGGAGCGUCACAAAAUGUUGGGAGUCUCAGGCAAUUCCAGCUGGAAGUGUGGACGAAGGAGAGAGAAGCUUCUGGAUUAAGGGCAAGUGUAAACACAUUAAUGUCUGAGGUGCAGCGUUUGAAUAAGUUAUGUGCUGAGAGGAAAGAAGCCGAAGAUUCUUUGAAAAAGAAAUGGAAAAAGAUUGAGGAGUUUGAUUCUCGAAGAUCUGAACUUGAAUCUAUAUAUACUGCUCUUCUUGACGCUAACAAGGCUGCUGCUGCAUUUUGGAGUCAACAGCCAUUGGUUGCUCGUGAAUUUGCAUCUAGUACUAUCAUCCCUGCUUCUGGAAUUGUGAUAGAUCUAUCAAACAGUGCAAAGGAUCUUAUUGAAAAAGAAGUUUCAUCAUUCCUGCAAAGUCCUGAUAACAGUCUUUACAUGCUGCCAGCUAGCCCACAGGCACUCUUGGACUCCAUGGGUUCUAGUGGGUCCACGGGACCAGAGGCCCUAGCUGCUGCUGAGAAAAAUGCUGCUUUGUUGACUGCAAGAGCUGGUGCAAGGGAUCCAUCUGCAAUUCCCUCAAUCUGUCGCAUUUCUGCUGCUCUUCAUUAUCCUUCUGGAUCAGAUGAUGGUUUGGCAUCAGUACUGAAAGCCGUGGAGUUCUCUUUGAAACUGCGGGGUUCCGAGGCCUGUGUGCUGGAGGACUUAGCAAAGGCAAUCAAUUUGGUUCAUAGCCGAAGAGACCUUGUUGAAAGUGGUCGUACAGUGUUAAACCAUGCUCACCAUGCACAGCAGGAAUAUGAAAGAACUACAAGGUACUGUCUGUCAUUGGCCUCUGAACAAGAAAGAACUGUGACUGAUGAAUGGUUGCCUGAGCUCAGAAAUGCUGUAAUAAAUGCUCAGAAGAGCUUGGAAGAUUGCAAAUAUGUCAAGGGCUUGCUUGAUGAGUGGUGGGAACAACCAGCCUCAACUGUUGUUGACUGGGUUACAGUUGAUGGUCAAAACGUUGGUGCUUGGCUUAAUCACGUGAAGCAGCUUCUUGCAUUUUAUGACAAGGAACUGUUAUAAGUGGUUUUGAUAAUCCUCAGUGGACCAACUUCGUGACAUUUUUCUUCUCCACUAGCCACUUGCAAAUCCAACUUUCGGCUAAGAGGUGUCUUGAAACCUUGAACUAACAGAUUUUGUGCAAUUAUACCAGAUAUUAAGUUCUUGGAGACUGUGGGUAGAAUCAUCUCAUUCCAAAUCUGAGAGGAAUUUACAGCUGCUGCUCCUGUGAAGUGCGAAGAACAUGGCAACAGCUGAGCCAAGAUGAUCAGUUGCAAGCUUUUUAAUAACAGGUACCCCAUAAUUUACUAAAUUUCAAAGGGUUUUUUGAACUGUCGUUUUAGUUACAGAUUGUCCUGGAUUUCUUCAGUACAAGUAGGAACUAGGGGGUACUAUACCUACCUUGUGGGAUUAUCCAUCUUCCACACAUAUAGUAACAAUGCAUCGUGUCAAUGUAUGAUCUAUAGACUGAGCAACUUUAAGUUUAUCUCGGUGAUCAUGCAGUCGGCCUGAAUAUGAACAAUCUUUUAGAAUGACAGAUGAUGUUUUCUAUCCUCGAGUAUAUGGUGUUCAAUAAGUUUCUUAACUUGAGGCGCUUAUUUUGGACUGAUGAGGUAGCCACUUAAGUCUUAUCUCGCUCCAUCUUCAUGUUGUUAAGGUGUUCAUAGACCAAAACUACAUCACGUAGCUCUAUCAUUUGGCCUUUUGCGUCUGUAGGGCUAAAAAAUAUGAACCAUAUUUUCUCCCUUGCGGGCCUACCCUUUGAAAACCGAUGUAAACUGGGUUAACAGUGAUGCAACCCAAUGUAAUCUUAUUGCAAUACAAAUGUCACAUGCUGCCUUUAU